rnacentral:rRNA from 1 species
GAUGAACGCUGGCGGCGUGCCUAAUACAUGCAAGUCGAGCGAACAGACGAGGAGCUUGCUCCUCUGACGUUAGCGGCGGACGGGUGAGUAACACGUGGAUAACCUACCUAUAAGACUGGGAUAACUUCGGGAAACCGGAGCUAAUACCGGAUAAUAUAUUGAACCGCAUGGUUCAAUAGUGAAAGACGGUUUUGCUGUCACUUAUAGAUGGAUCCGCGCCGCAUUAGCUAGUUGGUAAGGUAACGGCUUACCAAGGCGACGAUGCGUAGCCGACCUGAGAGGGGGAUGGGCCACCCGGAACCUGAGCCACGUUCCAGCCUCCUACGGAAGGCAGCAGUGGGGAACCUUCGGAAAUGGGCGAAAGCCUGAGGGAGCAACGCGGCGUGGGUGAUGAAGGUCUCGGAUCGUAAAACUCUGUUAUUAGGGAAGAACAAAUGUGUAAGUAACUAUGCACGUCUUGACGGUACCUAAUCAGAAAGCCACGGCUAACUACGUG